rnacentral:rRNA from 1 species
AUGUCGGCGGCCGGCGAUGACAAGCGUUGUGGCACCAAAAGAAAGGCCGCCGGCUCCGGCGAGGCGGCGCCGGCCGACGUCGCGACGCUGCGGCAGGCGAUCAUGGCGCAUCUGCUAACCUUCCCCGAGGCGGCGGCGCUGGACGCACGGCAGCUGGACGAGGCAGCCGACAGGAUCGUCAGGGAGUCGGACCCCUCCACCGCGACCCCGACCGGCGAAGGCAUGGUUCGCUACGACGACAAACGCAUCAGCUCAGCCUUCAACCUGGACAGCUGGCUGGAGCUCCACGCCGCCGAGGACCUCCCGCCCAACGGGGAGUUCCCGCCAGGGUGGCUCGACGAGCGGAGGCGGAUGCUGGACGAGGAGAUGCGGCCGGAGAAGAGGGGCGAGCCCAACCACUCGCGAUUCCACCUAGCCAAGAUGCGCGUCGACUUGCUCACCAAGGGCUACGUCGAGUUCCCCAAGCCGUACGUCGACUACACACCCCCCUUCCCGGUCUCUGAGCGCAGGCAGAGCAAGGACAUCGCAACAGAGGUGGUGGCUGGAUGA